GACGAACGCUGGCGGCGUGCUUAACACAUGCAAGUCGAACGGAAAGGCCCUGCUUUUGUGGGGUGCUCGAGUGGCGAACGGGUGAGUAACACGUGAGUAACCUGCCCUUGACUUUGGGAUAACUUCAGGAAACUGGGGCUAAUACCGGAUAGGAGCUCAUGCUGCAGGGUGGGGGUUGGAAAGUUUCGGCGGUUGGGGAUGGACGCGCGGCUUAUCAGCUUGUUGGUGGGGUAGUGGCUUACCCAGGCUUUGACGGGUAGCCGGCCUGAGAGGGUGACCGGCGACAUUGGGACUGAGAGACGGCCCAGUCUCCUACGGGAGGCAGCAGUGGGGAAUAUUGCACAAUGGGCGGAAGCCUGAUGCGGCAACGCCGCGUGCGGGAUGACGGCCUUCUGGUUGUAAACCGCUUUCGCCUGUGACGAAGCGUGAGUGACGGUAAUGGGUAAAGAAGCACCGGCUAACUACGUG
rnacentral:rRNA from 1 species